CCUACAGCAGGGCAUGGUGGGAGUGUUAGUUUUACAACAGCUGGAGGGCCGCAGGUUGAGCACCCCUCCAGUGAGCCCCGUCCUGGGGCAUUAGCAGCUGUACCCGUCGAUCAACGUAUCAUCAAGGAGGCUAAAUUUAAAAAGGUGAUGUCACCACUUGACAACCCCUUUAAUUGGGCGGCAACUGACGCUGCAUUCACAAGGGCUGAUUCACAAGCAAGUAUGGAGAAGGAAGCCAACGUCCCCGGUAAUUGCCUGGAGGUGAGGGCGGCCUUUACCCGACGCAAACACCCCCCAGGACGAGCGAUGCCCCUGCCAUGUCACAAGUCUGCAUGAAAACACCCAAAGGGCUUCUAAACAGAAGAAGGCCAGGAAGUAAAAAUGCCUUAUCCUGGAGUUUUUGUGCCUUUCCGUCUCCUGAUACUACACCAGAACCUAUUUUGCUGGCAGGUAUUAUUGUGGCUUCAGUCUCCUCCGACUUGACGACC